AUUGAACGCUGGCGGCAGGCUUAACACAUGCAAGUUGAGCGGGGUGAUGGUGCUUGCACUAUCACUUAGCGGCGGACGGGUGAGUAAUGCUUAGGAAUCUGCCUAUUAGUGGGGGACAACAUCUCGAAAGGGAUGCUAAUACCGCAUACGUCCUACGGGAGAAAGCAGGGGAUCACUUGUGACCUUGCGCUAAUAGAUGAGCCUAAGUCGGAUUAGCUAGUUGGUGGGGUAAAGGCCUACCAAGGCGACGAUCUGUAGCGGGUCUGAGAGGAUGAUCCGCCACACUGGGACUGAGACACGGCCCAGGCUCCUACGGGAGGCAGCAGUGGGGAAGAUUGGACAAUGGGGGGAACCCUGAUCCAGCCAUGCCGCGUGUGUGAAGAAGGCCUUAUGGUUGUAAAGCACUUUAAGCGAGGAGGAGGCUUACCUAGUUAAUACCUGGGAUAAGUGGACGUUACUCGCAGAAUAAGCACCGGCUAACUCUGUGCCAGCCGCCGCCGUAAAAC
rnacentral:rRNA from 1 species